rnacentral:rRNA from 1 species
CCCGGUGAUCUAGCCAUGGGCAGGUUGAAGGUUGGGUAACACUAACUGGAGGACCGAACCGACUAAUGUUGAAAAAUUAGCGGAUGACUUGUGGCUGGGGGUGAAAGGCCAAUCAAACCGGGAGAUAGCUGGUUCUCCCCGAAAGCUAUUUAGGUAGCGCCUCGUGAAUUCAUCUCCGGGGGUAGAGCACUGUUUCGGCAAGGGGGUCAUCCCGACUUACCAACCCGAUGCAAACUGCGAAUACCGGAGAAUGUUAUCACGGGAGACACACGGCGGGUGCUAACGUCCGUCGUGAAGAGGGAAACAACCCAGACCGCCAGCUAAGGUCCCAAAGUCAUGGUUAAGUGGGAAACGAUGUGGGAAGGCCCAGACAGCCAGGAUGUUGGCUUAGAAGCAGCCAUCAUUUAAAGAAAGCGUAAUAGCUCACUGGUCGAGUCGGCCUGCGCGGAAGAUGUAACGGGGCUAAACCAUGCACCGAAGCUGCGGCAGCGACGCUUAUGCGUUGUUGGGUAGGGGAGCGUUCUGUAAGCCUGCGAAGGUGUGCUGUGAGGCAUGCUGGAGGUAUCAGAAGUGCGAAUGCUGACAUAAGUAACGAUAAAGCGGGUGAAAAGCCCGCUCGCCGGAAGACCAAGGGUUCCUGUCCAACGUUAAUCGGGGCAGGGUGAGUCGACCCCUAAGGCGAGGCCGAAAGGCGUAGUCGAUGGGAAACAGGUUAAUAUUCCUGUACUUGGUGUUACUGCGAAGGGGGGACGGAGAAGGCUAUGUUGGCCGGGCGACGGUUGUCCCGGUUUAAGCGUGUAGGCUGGUUUUCCAGGCAAAUCCGGAAAAUCAAGGCUGAGGCGUGAUGACGAGGCACUACGGUGCUGAAGCAACAAAUGCCCUGCUUCCAGGAAAAGCCUCUAAGCAUCAGGUAACAUCAAAUCGUACCCCAAACCGACACAGGUGGUCAGGUAGAGAAUACCAAGGCGCUUGAGAGAACUCGGGUGAAGGAACUAGGCAAAAUGGUGCCGUAACUUCGGGAGAAGGCACGCUGAUAUGUAGGUGAAGUCCCUCGCGGAUGGAGCUGAAAUCAGUCGAAGAUACCAGCUGGCUGCAACUGUUUAUUAAAAACACAGCACUGUGCAAACACGAAAGUGGACGUAUACGGUGUGACGCCUGCCCGGUGCCGGAAGGUUAAUUGAUGGGGUUAGCGCAAGCGAAGCUCUUGAUCGAAGCCCCGGUAAACGGCGGCCGUAACUAUAACGGUCCUAAGGUAGCGAAAUUCCUUGUCGGGUAAGUUCCGACCUGCACGAAUGGCGUAAUGAUGGCCAGGCUGUCUCCACCCGAGACUCAGUGAAAUUGAACUCGCUGUGAAGAUGCAGUGUACCCGCGGCAAGACGGAAAGACCCCGUGAACCUUUACUAUAGCUUGACACUGAACAUUGAGCCUUGAUGUGUAGGAUAGGUGGGAGGCUUUGAAGUGUGGACGCCAGUCUGCAUGGAGCCGACCUUGAAAUACCACCCUUUAAUGUUUGAUGUUCUAACGUUGACCCGUAAUCCGGGUUGCGGACAGUGUCUGGUGGGUAGUUUGACUGGGGCGGUCUCCUCCUAAAGAGUAACGGAGGAGCACGAAGGUUGGCUAAUCCUGGUCGGACAUCAGGAGGUUAGUGCAAUGGCAUAAGCCAGCUUGACUGCGAGCGUGACGGCGCGAGCAGGUGCGAAAGCAGGUCAUAGUGAUCCGGUGGUUCUGAAUGGAAGGGCCAUCGCUCAACGGAUAAAAGGUACUCCGGGGAUAACAGGCUGAUACCGCCCAAGAGUUCAUAUCGACGGCGGUGUUUGGCACCUCGAUGUCGGCUCAUCACAUCCUGGGGCUGAAGUAGGUCCCAAGGGUAUGGCUGUUCGCCAUUUAAAGUGGUACGCGAGCUGGGUUUAGAACGUCGUGAGACAGUUCGGUCCCUAUCUGCCGUGGGCGCUGGAGAACUGAGGGGGGCUGCUCCUAGUACGAGAGGACCGGAGUGGACGCAUCACUGGUGUUCGGGUUGUCAUGCCAAUGGCACUGCCCGGUAGCUAAAUGCGGAAGAGAUAAGUGCUGAAAGCAUCUAAGCACGAAACUUGCCCCGAGAUGAGUUCUCCCUGACUCCUUGAGAGUCCUGAAGGAACGUUGAAGACGACGACGUUGAUAGGCCGGGUGUGUAAGCGCAGCGAUGCGUUGAGCUAACCGGUACUAAUGAACCGUGAGGCUUAACCUU